GACAGAGGGAGGGAGGGAGUGACUAGUGACAGAGGGAGGGAUGGGGUGACUAGUGACAGUCACCACCUCCUUCACUCUGUCACUGUGUCACCCCCUUCCUCACUCUGUCACUGUGUCACCCCUUCCUCACUCUGUCA